rnacentral:snRNA from 1 species
AGCUGUGCACAGUGGCAGCAUCAUAACCAGUGAGGUUUAUCUGAGGUGAGAUUAUUGCUAAUUGAAAUUUUUUUUUUUUUUUACCUGUUCCACCCUUCUCUCACUUUAUCUCAGGGCUACAUAAGUGUGUUUUAGAAUUUGAUUUAUACAUUACAUAUA